rnacentral:rRNA from 1 species
UCCUACGGGAGGCAGCAGUGGGGAAUUUUGGACAAUGGGCGCAAGCCUGAUCCAGCCAUACCGCGUGGGUGAAGAAGGCCUUCGGGUUGUAAAGCCCUUUUGUUGGGAAAGAAAUCCUGUCGAUUAAUACUCGGUGGGGAUGACGGUACCCAAAGAAUAAGCACCGGCUAACUUCGUGCCAGCAGCCGCGGUAAU